GCUUUGUUAGCUCAGUCGGAAAUGGCAUGAGGCUUUUAAUCUCAGGGUCACGGGUUCGAGCCCCAUACAAAGCU